UUGAAAGCACAAGGAACGUAGCUAACAGAAUUGUGUUGCCUCGUGUAAAUUUUAGUUAGGAUAGUGCCAUAGACGGUGAGAGAUUCAAAUACAUGCACGUGCGUUUGUUGACAUUACGGCUCUCAUGGGUCCAACUGAGGGUAUUUCUGACGAUCUUACGGGCUUGUUAUUGAGAUUGUACGUGCGCCUCGAACAUUUUUAGGAAAUGGAAUU